rnacentral:rRNA from 1 species
GACGUAGGGCGCGAGCGUUGUCCGGAAUUAUUGGGCGUAAAGAGCUCGUAGGCGGCUCGUUGCGUCGGCUGUGAAAACCCGCAGCUCAACUGUGGGCUUGCAGCCGAUACGGGCGGGCUGGGAUUCGGUAGGGGAGACUGGAAUUCCUGGUGUAGCGGUGAAAUGCGCAGAUAUCAGGAGGAACACCGGUGGCGAAGGCGGGUCUCUGGGCCGAUAUCGACGCUGAGGAGCGAAAGCGUGGGGAGCGAACAGG